rnacentral:rRNA from 1 species
GCUCAGGAUGAACGUUGGCGGUAUGACUAAGGCAUGCAAGUCGAAAGGGUUUAGACCCUUGGCAAACGGGAGCGUAACACAUUGGUAAUCUACCCUCUAGACGUGAAUAACCCCGCGAAAGCGGGGCUAAUACACGAUAAUAAUUUGAGACAUAUGUCUCAUCUUUAAAGGUUUAUCGCUAGGGGAGGAGCCUAUGGCCUAUCAGCUAGUUGGCAGUGUAAAAGACUACCAAGGCGACGACGGGUAGCGGGUGUGAGAGCACGACCCGCCUCACUGGGACUGAGACACGGCCCAGACACCUACGGGUGGCUGCAGUCUUGAAUCUUCGGCAAUGGACGAAAGUCUGACCGAGCAAUACCGCGUGAUCGAUAAGUCCUUCGGGAUGUAAAGAUCUUUUACUAGGGAAGAACAAAUGACGGUACCUAGAGAAUAAGAGGUUGCUAACUCUGUGCCAGCAGCAGCGGUAAUACAGAGACCUCAAACGUUAUCCGGAUUAAUUGGGCGUAAAGCGUGCGAAGGCGGCAUGUUAAGUCAGCGGUUAAAUCUUGGGGCUCAACCCCAAGGCUGCUACUGAUACUGACAAGCUAGAGUCUGGAAGAGGCAAGCGGAAUUGCUGGUGUAGGGGUAAAAUCCGUUAAUAUCAGCAGGAACACCAAAUGCGUAAGCAGCUUGCUAGAACAGCACUGACGCUGUUGCACGAAAGCGUGGGGAUCAAAGAGGAUUAGAUACCCUCGUAGUCCACGCCGUAAACUAUGGAUACUAGGCUUUGGUAGUAUCGACCCUGCCAGAGCCGUUUAAAAAAGCUAACGCGUUAAGUAUCCCGCCUGGGAAGUACGGUCGC